GACGCGCUGACACUCUAACACCACCGCGUACUGCUCGUAGUCUGUGUUUAUGAUGGUGCCGUCAGCUGUUCCGAAGACGUCUGCAAGAUUUUUGGAUCCGCUCUAGACGGGUUGGACUUGGAAGCGACCCGGCCGACUACUGAGGACCUCCCUCCAAAAUACGACGAUUUGGUGGACAAAUUGCCAUCUUACGAGGAAGCAAUUUUCACGAUACAAAAGAAUCCCCCCGUCGACGCGGGCCGCAAGAACCUCGCUUUCGACCCUCAAGAGGAGACAGAAGCCCUUCCUGACGUCGACAUCGAAGCGGCAUCGCGUGGAAACCCAGCCGAUCAGAGAGAGAAUUAUCCAGUCCCUGUGCAACCGUAUCAAGCUCAAACCUAUGUUAAAUAUCCCCAAUCCGAUGCAGGGAGAUUGGCUAAUCCUCCUUCGUAUCAUGCAGAAUCCGACGUGAAAUUUUCCCAGUCUGAUGCAGGGUGAUUGGCUAAUCCUCCUCCGCUUCAUGCAGAAUCCGACGUUAGAUUUUCCCAGUCCGAUGCAGGGGGAUUGGCUAAUCCUCCUGGAUUUGGUGUGGAUAAUGAGCUAAUCAGCAUAUCACCAUCAGCACGAUCUCACUCGACCCGACGUCCCGAUGAAACUCCAAUCCGGGAAUUACUCGUUAAGCACACACAUUCUUAUGAAAUGUUUAUUAUUAUUGUUGUUGUUGUUGUUAUUGUCAUUAUUAUACCACUCAUAAAUUCUUUUUAAUAAUCUAUUUAUAAAUUAUCGAUCAUUUCACACGCGAUACAGUACACGAACUCAUUCCCAUUCCUACCAUUAAAUUAUAAUGCCACUGUACAGAGAGGUUCCAUAAUUACUCUGCGUAGGUUAGGGGAAGGAAAAGGAUAAUAGAUAUUAAGGAAAGCAAUUCAGCGAUAUAUACACCAGUAAGUAUUCCUGUUUAUAUACAAAUAUAUACGUUUCGAUGAAUUUACACUUAAGAGAAAGAAUAGAGUAAUAUAAAGUUACUCCACUAGCCGUGCCAUUUACUUAUAAUUAAAGCAAUCUUAGAAAGAGGUUUAAUGGAUUAUAUUAUUUGUUUUAGUAAUUAUUAUUACCAUUUUAUGUCUGUUAUGAUUAUAUAGCUAUUAUAUAGCACAUACGUAAAAAGGACUGAUGACUCACAUGUUUUUAUAUUAUAAUGUAGCAGAUGAAUGUGAUGAAAUUGAUAGU